CUGAGACAGAAUCAGAUGAAGAUCCUUACAACUUUGCACUUUCUGUGUAGGUUGGUUUUUUUGUUUCGUGCUAGUCUGAUCAACUAUCAGAGAGAUAGAGAGACGAUUAAGAUGGCGAGCCCGGCCCAGCGAUUCUGUGAGAGAGACAAUUAAGAUGGCGAGCCCAGCCCAGCGAUUCUGAGAGAGAGAGAGUUGGAGAUGUGGUGUGGCCAGCCACAGAACCUACCUUGAGACUCCAGAUCAUCUGAAUCACACAUUCUGAGAACAGAUAAGACACACACACUCUUCACCUACCYGGGUAGUAGAGAUUUAGGAUGAAAUACUUGAAUGGACAUUGAUACAGAACAUCCACACAAUUGGAUCCCUUUUUCAGAACUGAACAUUCUUGAGUUGGAGAGCUCAACUUCAAUGGACUCUGAUUUUGUGUUUUUUUUAUUUUUGUGGCGCCUUAUUUGGUAAAUAAAAGUACAGCUAAGCUGUCAAUGUUAUUAUUGUUGUGCAUUGAUAUUAAAGUGUCACCUGUUCAAAUUAAACCACACCCACUCCUUUUUGUGAGUAAACUCCUGGUGCAACUCCUACCGGACCUAGAGCGAUGUGAUGUCUCUUUAACCUAAAAGUCAGGACCAAAGGUGCUACAUAUAUAUAUAUUUUUUAGAAGGGGCUAACCGUCUAGAAGGGGUUAGAAAUCUGCCUGUAUCCAGCCUGCUSUUAAUCGACAGCGCAGGAGCCACUCCAGACAGUCAGAUCACACCGAGCACUACCCCUGCAAAAAGUCGUCCUCGGACUAACCGUUUGCGGUUAAGACGUCGCCAUCGGGAAAUCUACACAGAAGCCCCCAUCCUAGGACAUUUGAGAGAACUGCUCAGAGAAUCUGGCGACGGUAUAAGUCAAGAACCGGAACCUUCUGUCUCUUCUCUCGAGAGGUCUGUGACAGAGUCACCUAGAGCGAAAAAACCCUGUGUCUGUCAACAAGCUGUGGAGCAAAGGAGUUGUGGGGUACAAACCACAGAACCAGAGCCAGAAGCACAG